rnacentral:tRNA from 1 species
ACCAGAAUGGCCAAGAGGUUAAGGCGUUGGACUUAAGUUCCAAUGGACAUUUUUCUGCAUGGGUUUGAGCCCCACUUCUGGUA